UCAGCCGCGUCGAGUCACCGCGCCGCCGAGCCUCCCGUUAGGCCGCCACGCCGUCGGUCCGCCUGCGCCACCGCGCCACGCCGAGCUACACGCCGGGCCGCCGCGGAGAAGAACGGAGGAGGAGGAGCCGCAAAGUCGACCUACCCGACGAGUACCCACGCCGAGCCACCACGACGCUGCGCUUCUUGCCCAGCUCCGUGCCCCCGAACAAAUCCUACUACUCGACGGCGAUCAUGGCGAAGGACGCCUUGGCCUUGAUGGAUCAUUUGGGGUGGAAGAAAGCACAUGUCUUUGGCCACUCUAUGGGAAUGUGUCAAGGGCAUAUCUUCAACAGGAAUGCAAUCUAAUUGCGGUCUUGAAGGGCAAGUUAAUGCAUGCUGGACUCACAACAUGAUGACUACAAAAGAAUUAGAGACAAUACGCUCUGCCGGUUUUCUAAUUUUAGUUAUUCAUGGAAGGUUAGUUUCUCUAACAGCAGAUAUUAUAUUCAGAGAAUGGUACCAUUUCACUUGACUUACAUAAUAUGCACGUACGAUAUAACUGCACAAUUGUGCAAUGCAAAACAUCUAGCAGAAAGGCUUCUUCCUACUGCUAGAAUGGUACAACUUCAUGGUGCAGCUCGUCUAUCUUGCCGCUUGCCGAGCCCUCAGUUGUAGCCAUAUACGUCGUGUUUUCGAUCAUCUGUGCAUUAUGCUGGGCGAGGUUAUUUCUACGGUACCUCUACAACCAAGAAAGCAACUGAAUUCUCCACUGACGGUAUGCAUUAGAACUCUUGUAAUUUCUCUGCACUCCUACAAGGCUUUGAAUUUAACAGGUGUGUUGCUAUACUCUGCAUAUGCUAUCCAUCUCACACUUAAUUAGGGAGGGACCUAGGUGCAAAGCAUUUGUCCUAUUAAGUUUUGCAUUUUAUUUUAUGUUUCAAUCAGCUACAAGUUAUAAAAGCUAUGUAAAAUCAGGAUUCUCAUAACUCGAUCUAUGGAAUAGAUAUAUUCAAAUUCAAAUAUUCAGCAUUACAGAUUCAGUUUCUGCAUCUAUAUCCAUUUUACAUAUUAAUUUUUUAAUCAUUUACUUUCAGACACACUGCUCCAAAUCUCAAUUCCAUCUGUAUAAUAAUAUUUGACAAACCAAAUCAAGCAAAGGUUUAUUACCACCGGUUCAAAUCCAUGCAUCUGCCUAUAGUCCUAGAUAACCACGUCUGUGAACGCUAUUGUCCAUUGUUUGUACUCAUCUAUCUAACUACAAAGAAAAA